rnacentral:rRNA from 2 species
GUAGUUUGACUGGGGCGGUCUCCUCCUAAAGAGUAACGGAGGAGCACGAAGGUUGGCUAAUCCUGGUCGGACAUCAGGAGGUUAGUGCAAUGGCAUAAGCCAGCUUGACUGCGAGCGUGACGGCGCGAGCAGGUGCGAAAGCAGGUCAUAGUGAUCCGGUGGUUCUGAAUGGAAGGGCCAUCGCUCAACGGAUAAAAGGUACUCCGGGGAUAACAGGCUGAUACCGCCCAAGAGUUCAUAUCGACGGCGGUGUUUGGCACCUCGAUGUCGGCUCAUCACAUCCUGGGGCUGAAGUAGGUCCCAAGGGUAUGGCUGUUCGCCAUUUAAAGUGGUACGCGAGCUGGGUUUAGAACGUCGUGAGACAGUUCGGUCCCUAUCUGCCGUGGGCGCUGGAGAACUGAGGGGGGCUGCUCCUAGUACGAGAGGACCGGAGUGGACGCAUCACUGGUGUUCGGGUUGUCAUGCCAAUGGCACUGCCCGGUAGCUAAAUGCGGAAGAGAUAAGUGCUGAAAGCAUCUAAGCACGAAACUUGCCCCGAGAUGAGUUCUCCCUGAGACUUAGAGUCUCCUGAAGGAACGUUGAAGACGACGACGUUGAUAGGCCGGGUGUGUAAGCGCAGCGAUGCGUUGAGCUAACCGGUACUAAUGAACCGUGAGGCUUAACCUUACA